rnacentral:rRNA from 1 species
GACGAACGCUGGCGGCGUGCCUAAUACAUGCAAGUUGAGCGAUGAAGAUUGGUGCUUGCCCCAAUUUGAAGAGCAGCGAACGGGUGAGUAACGCGUGGGGAAUCUGCCUUUGAGCGGGGGACAACAUUUGGAAACGAAUGCUAAUACCGCAUAACAACUUUAAACAUAAGUUUUAAGUUUGAAAGAUGCAAUUGCAUCACUCAAAGAUGAUCCCGCGUUGUAUUAGCUAGUUGGUGAGGUAAAGGCUCACCAAGGCGAUGAUACAUAGCCGACCUGAGAGGGUGAUCGGCCACAUUGGGACUGAGACACGGCCCAAACUCCUAAGGGAGGCAGCAGUAGGGAAGCUUCGGCAAUGGACGAAAGUCUGACCGAGCAACGCCGCGUGAGUGAAGAAGGUUUUCGGAUCGUAAAACUCUGUUGGUAGAGAAGAACGUUGGUGAGAGUGGAAAGCUCAUCAAGUGACGGUAACUACCCAGAAAGGGACGGCUAACUACGUG